rnacentral:lncRNA from 1 species
GUGGCCUUGAAACAGGGGAAGUGAAGAACUGAAACCAUGAAUGCAAUUAAUCUACCGAACUCCUCUCACUCACCAUCACAUCCCUCACACUGAAGAAAAAAAGAGGUUCAGAACUUUGGCUAGACUCCAUCAUGGAGGAACGUCUCAAACCACCACCAUUGUGUGUGCAAAGCGCCUUAUUCCCAGGAAGCCCAAAGACUGCUCCCGGUCCAGGUCUCUUGUAGUGAGUGGGUCAUAGAGACACACUACAUUUGUGGGAUCAGAUUCAACUGUCAAAGAGGAACCUGCCUGGCUCCAGCAAAACCAAGUACAAAUCGCAGGAUUCCUCUUCGAUGCCUGAGUCCACAGCAUCUGCCGAAUCCUCUCUCUAUGGCUUGCCACUUGGUCCUAAGGGCUUGUUGGCCUUCAUCAGAAGCAGCUUCCAAAUUGCUUCAACCUCAGAGACCAGCAACUCUGGCCUCGUCAGCCUGCCAGAUCCUGUUGUUGCUCACCUAUUUGCAAAGCAAAGAACUUUCAAGAAGGUCAGAGAAUUCC